rnacentral:rRNA from 1 species
CCUACGGGGUGCAGCAGUAGGGAAUAUUGCUCAAUGGGGGAAACCCUGAAGCAGCAACGCCGCGUGGAGGAUGAAGGUUUUCGGAUUGUAAACUCCUUUUGUUAGAGAAGAUAAUGACGGUAUCUAACGAAUAAGCACCGGCUAACUCCGUGCCAGCAGCCGCGGUAAUACGGAGGGUGCAAGCGUUACUCGGAAUCACUGGGCGUAAAGAGCGCGUAGGCGGGAUAGCAAGUCAGAUGUGAAAUCCUAGGGCUUAACCAUAGAACUGCAUUUGAAACUGUUAUUCUAGAGUAUGGGAGAGGUAGGUGGAAUUCUUGGUGUAGCGGUGAAAUCCGUAGAGAUCAAGAGGAAUACUCAUUGCGAAGGCGGCCUGCUAGAACAUAACUGACGCUGAUGCGCGAAAGCGUGGGGAGCAAACAGGAUUAGAUACCCCAGUAGUC